rnacentral:lncRNA from 1 species
CAGGCUACAUCUUUCUACUGCGCUGUGCUGGAUGCUUCCUGUCCUUGAACAUCAGACUCUAAGUUCUUCAGUUCUGGGACUUGGACUGGCUCUCCUCACUCCUCAGCUUGCAGACAGUCUAUUGUGGGACCUUGUGAUCUUGGUUCAAGUUAUCAAGGAGAAGAGCGAACAUCACUCAAAGACCUUUCCUCUUCUUCCAGCAAGAAGGCCCUUACCAGAUGCCAGCACCUUGAAAUUGGUCUUUCUAGCCUCCAGAUCUGUUAAAGAUGUGACAUUUCCUAACAGCACCAAGGAAGGAGCACCAGAG